UGGAACCCGGCCGACAGAAGAUGGCGGAUGAGCAGCGUGCAGGGUUUUCUCCCUGUGGCUCACUCUCUCUUACUGUGCUGGGCGGUUGCUUCCUCUCCUGCUGCCCUUGGGAGUCAGACUCCAGGUUCUUCAGCCUGUGGCCCCUGGGGCUCUCGGGCCUUGGAGGACUGACUAGGAGCACACGGUGGGCCUCUCUGGUUUGGGGGCCUGGGACGUGGCGGAGCCCUGCAGCUUCUGUGCGGCCUGUUCUGGGCGUCGCGUUGAAACGCCAGCCAGUUCCCCAAUCCCCCUGGGAUUACAGGAGUGUUGAAGAAAUGUUGUGACACAUCAGAACACCGCGAAAUACAUGGACACUUUCAAAUCAUGGAAGACUCAAGAGUCCUUGUUUUUGCCCAGUAUUAUAAACUGAGUUACAUAAAGGCAGAGCAAAUGCUAAAGCAAACUGUCCAGAAGGAAGGACAGCAGUAAGUGGAGAGACGUUAUUGCAAACAAGCACCUGGCAACAGCUGUGUUAGUUGGGUCAGGAGGGCAUCUUUCUCGGCUCUUCACUGUGAGAACCUUGUGGGAUUCCUGAAGAUGAAACCAUGAACGCGAGGGAGUCUUGCUAAAACUGCAGCAUUCGAGAGGUUUUCACUCAUGCUGGCUCACACUUGUCCUCUAGCAAUUCAUCAAAAUUACCACGACAAAGAAGACAGAAAAUACUACACACUACCCAGAGAUUGAAACUGAAGGUGUGAACAACAGAGAAAAGAGAGGGCAAAGAAAAGGAAAACAAAGAAGACGUGGGAUAUGAAAGGUGUAUGCCAUGUGUGGACAUCAAGAAAUGUUUCAGCUCGCACUUCUGCCACCAAUUGAGCCUGGAACCUCACUACUUGGAGUUGGGGGGAGGGCAGUGCUCAUUCAUCACCUGUGAAAAUAGGGAUUGAGAGUUCCCUAACUUUGCCAUUUUUCCUCAAGCACUGGCAUUGGUCUUCUGAAUGUCAGGCUCUGUAUAAGUGAGUCCUCAGCUGAGCCACAGGCUCUGCAUUCCUGGCAGUCCACACACUUCAUAUCCUUUGUUUAUGCUGCUCAUUUUGGAAUUCAAACAGGUUGGUGGGGCACAUUUCAACAGAUAAUGACACACACUGACUGCUCAUGAGCUAUUUUAUGGUGUGAGAAUGUUGUGAUGUUAUGAAAUGCGGAGGCAUUAAAACAUGGGGACAUUUUCUAGAAGAUCCUUAGCAGAGAGUACAGAAGACUAAGGUCCAAAUCUCUGAAAUGAUGUUUUCCAAAUUAUUGCACAGCUAUGUCAAAGUACCUUGAUCCAGUUAAUGUUAACAAAUAAAAAAUUAUGAAAUGUUAUUUUCUAGGUAUGGAUAGUAGUGGAUAGUAGUAGAUCUGUUGUGUAGUGGAGAUUACUUAGGAAGAAUAAAUUUCAACUUUACCAAGAAAGUACUACAUUAAUUGCAUUAGGGAAUUGUGAAUUGCAUUAGGAAAAUGCUCAUUCUUCUUUCAAUAGCCAAUAUCUGGAUACUAUACUCUCUUGAAUUUCUAAGAUUUGCAUCCAAUAUUCUAUAAUUAGCUUUCCAGUUUAUUGAAUGAUUUAAUUUACAUACAAAUAUUUUCUAAUAUAUUCCCUGUAAAAUAGUUUAAAAAAUUAAACGUUUCUCUAAUUACACAUUCCUCCCUAGCUGAUACAAUUUCAUUUAUUUGCUUACUUUCCCAGCUGGACAUUCAGAAAUUUUUUACUCAUAUUGUCUUCAAUUGCAUAUUUGCCAGUUUCUAGCUUUUAUUUUAUUUUUUAUAUCCAUUUUGUUCUAGGUGUGGAAAUUGCUAAGUGUAGAGCUUAAUAAUAUUUCACCAGAAAGAUAUGUGUCUAACUCCCUCAUGAAGAAAUAGUAUGUUACCAACACUCCCAAAUUUCCUUUGAUGUCAAAAAGCAUUAUUUUUCUCGAGUCUUUUUUUGUGUUGGUAUGAUAUAUAAACGAAAUCAUAUACACAUUUAUUUUUUCAUUUAGAUACUUUCCUUCAGUAUUAUGAUUGAGACAUUAACCUCAGUUUAAGUAUUUAUGUCAUUUUCAUUGCUAGUUCAUUGUAAGAAGCACACCUUUUAUUUAUCUAUUCCCUUAAUACAUAUUCCUGUUUCCAGUGUUAGAUUAAUGCAAAUAAGGCUAUCGUGAGCAUUCUUUUACAUGUUUUUCAGUGUACAAAUAUAUGCUGAGAGAGGAAUUACUGAAUCACAGAAAGCAGUAUAUGCAGCUAUAAUAGAUAUUACCAUAUCCACCAAACGUUUAGCAUUUCCUGUUUCAUUUUAUUCACUCUGGGGGAUGUAUAGAGAUUUCACAUUACAUUAUAAUUUAAUUUCUCUAAUGUCUAAUGAUGGGGAGCACCUUUUUCAUGUUUUUAUUGUCAAUUUGGCUAUCUUCUUUUUCUAAAUGCAUGUUCAAGUAUUUCAUCCAUUUUUAUUGGUCUUCUUUUUUUACUGGUUUAAUUGAAUUCUUUACAUAUUAUGGAUAUGAGCUCUUUGUCAAUUUUAUAUGUAUGCUUAUAUUCACUCCUACUUCACUCUGCAGCUUGCUUUUUAUUUUUAUGCUUUUAAUAAUGAACAUAAUUUCUUUAUUUUAAUAAAUAUCAUUAUUUUUCUUUAUGGUUAGUGUAUUUGCAACUAGGUUAACAAAUAUUUAUCUCCUUUACAGGCACUAAUAUAUUUCCCAACGUUAUCUUCCAAAAGAGGUCAUGUUGUACCUCUUGUAUUUAGGUAUACAAUACAUCUGAAAUUGAUUUUUGUGUGUGUUGCAGUUAGUAAUGAAGAUUCUCUUUUGAUAUAAAUAUCUAACUGAUUCAGCAUUAUUUCUUUAAAAGGCCACUUAUUUUCAUUGCUGUUGUAAGGAAGGAACAAAGGUUUCUUGUCAUGGCUUUCCUUCUGUAUUGCUCAGUCUCCCUAAAGUAAGUCUAGAAAAUUAAAGAAUUUUUUGAAUUGUUUUUUAUGAAUCAGGCAUUUCUCUAAAUAUGCCAGUCUAUUUCUAGACUAUAUUUGAAUUUGUCUUUAUGCUUUGUUCUAGUGCACACUGUCUUGAACAUUAUAUUUUUAUAAGUAUUGAUAUUUUAUAUUUUUAUUCUGAUUAAUUCAUUUAACUUGCUUUAUAAAUCUUUUGUGAAACAAGAAUGUUAUUUUUGAAGUGGCAGCAUUUAAAGAAUGUUACUUUAUUCAGCUCAAAAUCAUGUAUUACAUACUAUACUGUACUAAGUAUAUAUAUAUACACACACAUAUAUAUACACACAUAUAUACACACACAUAUAUAUACACACACACACACACACACACACACACAUAUAUAUAUAUAUAUAUAUGCACAUUUAAUACCCAAAAAAUCCCAAUCAGGUGUGCACUAUUAGUAUUCUCAUAUUGUAAUUGAAGAAACAAAGUCACAGAGGCACAGGCACAAAGAAGUUAAGCAGAAUGUGAAUGCGAGAUACCUAACACAUGGUGAGUGGAAAUGUCUGUAUUUGAAUCUAGGCACCUGGCUGCAGACUAAGUGCUUUUAGAGACUAUGCUUUGCUGAUUUUCAUUUCAGAGGUGAUUUUACUUUUCUUCUUAAGGUUUUUCAGGAAAGAAUUGGUGGCUGAGAAUAGAUUUUAGAUGUAGAAAUUGUAAGAAGAAGCUGGGGGAGGUGGCUUACACCUGUAAUCCCAGCACUUUGGGAGGCCGAGGCGGGUGGAUCACCUGAGGUCAGGAGUUUGAGACCAGCCUGACCAACAUGGUGAAACCCCGUCUCUACUAAAAAUAAAAAAAAUUAGCCAGGCAUGGUGGUGGGUGCCUUUAAUCCCAGCUACUCAGGAGGCUGAGGCAGGUGAAUCGCUUGAAGCCAGGAGGCAGAGAUUGCAGUGAGCCGAGAUUGCGCCAUUGCACUCCAGCCUGGACAAAAAGAGUGAAACUCCAUGUCAAAAAAAAAAAAAAAAAGGAAAUUAUAAGAAGAACUAGGUUAAAGUUUUCUUUAUUUUAAUCUGGCUUAAUAAAUAGAAUUUAUUAUCAGAUUGUGAUAGAAGAUGAGAGAAAAAGCAGGAAUCUUGAGUCACUAUGAAAUUUGGGGUCUGAGAUAAUAAGUGGAUGGCACACUCGGUUGUCAAAGUAGGAAGCACUAGGGAGGCAAACAUAUAGAAUGGAAUGGAGGAUUAUGUUACUUGGGAGAUGCCUAAGAGACAACUAAAUUUCAGGUUUCAAGUAGGAAGCCUGAGGUAUACAUGAGAUACUUAAAACCAUGGGACAGAAUGAGAUCAUCUUGGAAGAAUGUGUACAGAAAUAAAAUAACUGAGAAUGAAAUUAUAGGAGCAUGGCACUUAAUUUAUAUGAAAAGAGGAUGGUUUGGACUAUUUAAACUUCUUUCCCUCUUCUGGGAUUCUAAGAGAGACAUGAGAGACCAAGUAGCAAUUGUGGCAUCAUUACAAUAUCUGAUAAACUUGUGCUAUAGCCUACUCUUCUAGAAUACCUGUAUAGAAGAGAUUAUGAAAGGGAAAGUGUAUAAAACAGAGUGGUUGAAAAUGCUUACCAUCAUUGGAGUAAUAUAGACAUACAGAAGGAAGAAGGUGAAAAAUACAGGCUAGUCUUGAGGAUCCUGACUGCUUUGUAUGGGAAAUGUCUGGCUAUACCAUUGUUAAACUGUUUCACUACAGCAUUAAAAUGAGUCAAUUAUGCAUUUAAAUUUAUGGAUAAAAAACUAAGCUACCAACAGUAAGCUACAGAAGAAAAGUUGUAUGCUAAUGGAAUAUUUUUAGAAUUCUGGAUUAUUUAGGAAAAGUCUGAUGUCUUACUGAAAGAACACCUCAAUAAUAGAGCAAAUAUUAAAAAGUGAUAAUUUUAUACCACAUUCCUAAAGGUAAAAUUACUAUAGUAGAAUGCCUGGCAGUUGAGAAGUACUUUAACAAUGGCAUUAAAAAAUAUGGCUUAUUUCUAAGUGUUUAAUCCAUCUUGGGUUAAUUUUUGUAUAAGGUGUAAGAAAGGGGUCCAGUUUCAGUUUUCUGCAUAUGGCCAGCCUGUUUUCCCAACACCAUAGGGAAUCCUUUCCCCAUGGCUUGUUUUUAUCAGGUUUGUCAAAGAUCAGAUGGUUGUAGACGUAUGGAGUUAUUUCUGAGUUCUCUGUUCUGUCUGGCUUGUUUUUGUCAGGUUUGUCAAAGAUCAGAUGGUUGUAGAUGUAUUGGGUUAUUUCUGAGGCCUCUGUUCUGUUGCAUUUGUCUAUAUAUCUGUUUUGCUACCAGUACCAUGCUGUUUUGGUUACGGUAACCUUGUAGUAUAGUUUGAAGUCACGUAGCAUGAUGCUUCCAGCUUUGUUCUUUUUGCUUAGGAUUGUCUUGGCUGUACAGGCUCUUUUUUGGUUCCAUAUGAAACUUAAAGUAGUUUUUUUCCAAUUCUGUGAAGAAAGUCAAAGGCAGCUUGAUGGGGAUACCAUUGAAUCUAUAAAUUACUUUGGACAGUAUGGCCAUUUUCAUGAUAUUGAUUCUUCCUAUCCAUGAGCAUUGUUAAACUGCUUAAACUGUUUAACGUUUUAUGUUAAAUGUUAACAUAAUGUUGUACAUUAUGUAACAAAUGUAAAAUAAUGUUAAAAUGUUCUUCCAUUUGUUUGUAUCCUCUCUUAUUUCCUUGAGCAGUGGUUUGUAGUUCUCCUUGAAGAGGUCCUUCAUAUCCCUUGUAAGUUUUAUCCCUAGAUAUUUUAUUCUUUUGGUAGUAAUUGUGAACAGGAGUUCACUCAUGAUUUGGCUCUCUAUUAUUGGUGUAUAGGAAUGCUUGUGAUUUUUGCACAUUGAUUUUUUAUCCUGAGAGUUUGCUGAAGUUGCUUAUCAGCUUAAGGAGAUUUGGGGCUGAGAUGAUGGGGUUUUCUAAAUAUACAGCCAUGUCAUCUCCAAACAGAGAAAAUUUGACUUUCUCUCUCCUAUUUGAAUAUGGCCUAUUCCAAUUCAGGUACACACUUGGACAUAGAUAGCAUUCAGCAUUGAACAUGUUCUUGAAUGGUUGGAUUUCACCCUUGGCAUGUUUGAUAUAUACCUCAGCUUCUUCAGUACAACAUUAACUUUUCACUUUUGUCAUUUUUGUCUGAGAGAGGAAAGAAUAAAAGUGAAAGAAAAAAGUUCAGGGGUAUAUCAAAUUUAAAGUUCUCAGGAAGGAGGUCCUGACAGACAGGAUAUUCAGAGGAAAACUAGGAGAAUGUGGGAAGAGAUAAAGCAAAUGUCCAAUGUUGCUGCAAAACUGAUUACAAUUAGGUCAGAGUAUAGGUCAAAGUCUAUGGCAGGCUAUAGGGUAAUAAUGACCUGUAUUUAAAAAAUAGAUUCAAAGUAAAAAAUGAAAUGAAACAUGAUUAAAAUGAGUUGAAGGAUGCUGCAGAAUUGAAGGCAAGGACAUAGAAAACUUUUGAAGAUGCUACGCUUCAAGUGGCAGAAAAGAAUGAGGCAGCAGUAGAAUUGAAGACUCAAGGGAGGGGAUUAAAUAUGUACAAUCUGAGAUGCAUUUUGAUAAUCAAGGCAAUAAUCCAGUGGGAGAGGAGAGCUUAAUUGCAGUAACAGUGUCCAUGAAACCUUCAGAAGGCGUAGAUUCAAGGACACAAGCCAAAGGACUGGCCUUCUAUAAUUAGGCUUUCCUAGGAUAGUUUCUUUUUUAUACUUAGGUCUCUAUGUACUAUGAAAUUUAUUUACCUAAAAGGGAUGGGUUAUGAAUCAAAUUCUAUUUUUCAAAUAAGUAGUAAAUGUUCUAACACCAUAUAUGGAGGAAUAUUUCCUUUGGUCAUUAAUUUUAUAUACCUUCUACUCAUAUUAAUGUAUAAAAUAUGCAUAUAACAUUAUAUAAAAACACAUGUAGUAUUAAACAAUGUCUAUUUCUGAGCUACAAUAAAUUAUUUUAAUUAUAUUUUAAUAAUAUUUGGUUCCAUACAUUCACGCAUCCUUUAAAAAUAUCAUUGUGUUUUCCUUGGGCCUUUAUUCAUUUCUAUUAAUUUAAAAAUUUUACAACGAGUUAUAAUUUUAUUAAGAUUUUAUAUGAAUGUGAAUGAAUUUGACAUUUUUAUAGAAUGAAGUUUUCCCAUUCAUGAACUUGAUAUAUUUCUCCAUUUAAUCACUUCAUCACAAAAGGUCUAUACUAUUUUAUUACACCAGACGAACAUAAUUAUAGUACAUCAAAAAGCUGGUGACCAGGUUUGGAAGAGUCUAUAAAUCAUGUCAUAAAGAAAAAUGAAUGUAUUUAGUUUGGAAAAUAGUAACUUAAGACAUCUAUAAUAACCUUCUAAGUUUUUGAAUGAAUCUGUGGUUAAAAAAAAAAAGGAACUAAAUCUUUUUUAAUUGCAGAAGACAAAAAGGAAGAAAAAUUAUGGAAAAGACACAUUUUUAUCAAUUAAAGAAAAAUUAUAUUGAAAUUGACUUCAUGAAUAUGUAAGUUCUGUAUCCCUGGCAGAAACUGGUAUUUGGAGAAAAUACAAAGCAUUCCUACACUGAAAGAAAUGAUGCACCCAAGGAUCAGAGGAGAGUCCUUUGUUGGCUCAUGUAUCACCUGGAUCUGAAAUGAUGUGGAGU
rnacentral:lncRNA from 1 species